AUCGCAGUGGACCGGGACCGGGACCGGGACCGGGACCGGGACCUGCCGCGCCGCCGUCUCGCCUCAGCCGCGCGGCUGCGGCUGCCAUGGAAAUCACAACCACGCCCUGAUUGGUCGCGGGCCUCGAUGUGUCGCGGGACGCGGUUGGGCCGGCGCUGAAGAUUGACAGAUCGGGGGCGGGGCCGGGCGACGGAGGGGCGGGACCGUUAACCCCUGCGGGCGCGGCGGGAAACAUCUGGAGCCCACAGCUGGAGGGGGCGGGGCGCGCGGGCGCACAUCUGGGCGGUGGCGCCACGUGAACGCCCCGAGGAGCCCAUGUGCAUCAACAUCUGGACAGCCAUGCCAGACAGAUGUUGAUGGCUGGGAACAGCUGGAUUUCAUCACAGGUGGCUCCACUAAAACACACCAGCGUUGCUGAAGGAGGAGGGUAAAGGCUUGGGCUACACCAACAGUCUAACAAGCAAACGCUUUGCCGAAUGCUUCCCCCGGCUCGGGUUCGGAGAGGAGCUCUGGCCCAGCUGCCAUCACCAUAUGCAGACAAACACCCCAUGGAAAAGUCAGCGCUGCUGCAGGGUCAUAGCAAAGGGAGCAAUCCCAUGGGACAGUCCUCAGCCCUUGCAAAGUGCCUAUGAUGAAACCUUUACAAGCCUGUCAGGACGUGGUUUCCAGCGAUACUGAUGUGCCAACGCUCGCUGCCGGCGCUGCCCGGAGAGCUGCUACGGAUGAGCACUUGUUCUGCCGCCUGCUUCACCAAGUUGAUGGAGAAGCAGCGCUAUCGAGACGGGCCGUGAAUGCAGCGUGGCUCAUGCGUGUUUUAUUUGCUGAAAAAAUUAAGCGAAGGUAGCCAUGUGAGCAGAUACCUACAUUCAGGACAGUGACAAGAAUUCUCAUGGUGGGAGAAGUUCUGCCCUGUAAGGACUGAGUUUCAAGAGUACCUAAUGUCCGUAAGGCUUUCAGACGUGCUCAGGGAACUGCUCGGACCAUAGAGAAACCAGCAACUCCUUUCAGGUGGUAAAUUUCCUUUCAAAUUUCUUUUCUCUGACAGCUAUUGACAGGGAAUAAAUGUCAUUUGCUGCCAGAUGCAGCUGGAUUUGAACUAAUGAUUUAAAGAUGAAACAGUCUGUAUCCUGUUUCCAGUAAGUUUGCCUCAAUCCAUUAAACAGCACUUUUC